rnacentral:rRNA from 1 species
UACGUAGGGGGCAAGCGUUGUCCGGAUUUAUUGGGCGUAAAGAGCGUGUAGGCGGCCAGACAGGUCCGUUGUGAAAACUCGAGGCUCAACCUCGAGAUGUCGAUGGAAACCGUCUGGCUAGAGUCCGGAAGAGGAGUGUGGAAUUCCUGGUGUAGCGGUGAAAUGCGCAGAUAUCAGGAGGAACACCAAUGGCGAAGGCAGCACUCUGGGACGUGACUGACGCUGAGACGCGAAAGCGUGGGGAGCAAACAGG